UACGGAAGGCAGCAGUGGGGAAUAUUGCACAAUGGGCGAAAGCCUGAUGCAGCUAUGCCGCGUGUAUGAAGAAGGCCUUAGGGUUGUAAAGUACUUUCAUCGGGGAGGAAAAACAAAACUAAUAAUUUUAUUUCUUGACGUUACCCGAAAAAGAAGCACCGGCUAACUCCGUGCCAGCAGCCGCGGUAAUACGGAGGGUGCUAGCGUUAAUCAGAAUUACUGGGCGUAAAGAGCACGUAGGUGGUUUUUUUAAGUCAGAUGUGAAAUCCCUGGGCUUAACCUAGGAACUGCAUUUUGAAACUGAAAUACUAGAGUAUCGUAGAGGGAGGUAGAAUUCUAGGUGUAGCGGUGAAAUGCGUAGAUAUCUGGAGGAUACCUGUGGCGAAAGCGGCCUCCUAAACGAAUACUGACACUGAGGUGCGAAAGCGUGGGGAGCAAACAGGGAUUAGAUACC
rnacentral:rRNA from 1 species